GUGCCAGCAGCCGCGGUAAGACAGAGGCCACGAGCGUUAGGCGGAAUCACUGGGCUUAAAGCGUGUGUAGGCGGACCGUUAAGUGCCCGCGUGAAAUCCCCCGGCUCAACCGGGGAACGGCCGGGCAUACUGGCGGUCUUGAGCGGUCUAGGGGUCAUCGGAACAAACGGUGGAGCGGUGAAAUGCGUAGAUAUCGUUUGGAACGCCGACGGUGAAAACAGAUGACUGGGGACCUGCUGACGCUGAGACACGAAAGCCAGGGGAGCAAACGGGAUUAGAUACCCCCGUAGUCC
rnacentral:rRNA from 1 species